rnacentral:rRNA from 1 species
AUUGAACGCUGGCGGCAUGCCUUACACAUGCAAGUCGAACGGUAACAGGUCUUCGGAUGCUGACGAGUGGCGAACGGGUGAGUAAUACAUCGGACCGUGCCCAGACGUGGGGGAUAACGAGGCGAAAGCUUUGCUAAUACCGCAUACGAUCUAAGGAUGAAAGCAGGGGACCGCAAGGCCGUCCGCGCUUGGAGCGGCCGAUGGCAGGUUAGGUAGUUGGUGGGGUAAAAGCUUACCAAGCCGACGAUCUGUAGCUGGUCUGAGAGGACGACCAGCCACACUGGGACUGAGACACGGCCCAGACUCCUACGGGAGGCAGCAGUGGGGAAUUUUGGACAAUGGGCGAAAGCCUGAUCCAGCAGUGCCGCGUGCAGGAUGAAGGCCUUCGGGUUGUAAACUGCUUUUGUACGGAACGAAAAGGCUCUGGCUAAUACCUGGGGCACAUGACGGUACCGUAAGAAUAAGCACCGGCUAACUCCGUGCCAGCAGCCGCAGUAACAC